rnacentral:rRNA from 1 species
UGGGGAAUUUUGGACAAUGGGCGAAAGCCUGAUCCAGCAAUGCCGCGUGUGUGAAGAAGGCCUUCGGGUUGUAAAGCACUUUUGUCCGGAAAGAAAUCCUUGGCUCUAAUACAGUCGGGGGAUGACGGUACCGGAAGAAUAAGCACCGGCUAACUACGUGCCAGCAGCCGCGGUAAUACGUAGGGUGCAAGCGUUAAUCGGAAUUACUGGGCGUAAAGCGUGCGCAGGCGGUUUGCUAAGACCGAUGUGAAAUCCCCGGGCUCAACCUGGGAACUGCAUUGGUGACUGGCAGGCUAGAGUAUGGCAGAGGGGGGUAGAAUUCCACGUGUAGCAGUGAAAAUGCGUAGAGAUGUGGAGGAAUACCGAUGGCGAAAGGCAGCCCCCUGGGCCAAAUACUGACGCUCAUGCACGAAAAGCGUGGGGAGCAAAACAGGAUUAGAUACCCUGGUAGUCCACGCCCUAAAACGAUGUCAACUAGUUGUUGGGGAUUCAUUUCCUUAGUAACGUAGCUAACGCGUGAAGUUGACCGCCUGGGGAGUACGGUCGCAAAGAUUAAAAACUC